GAUGAACGCUGGCGGCGUGCCUAAUACAUGCAAGUCGAGCGAACAGAUGAGAAGCUUGCUCCUCUGACGUUAGCGGCGGACGGGUGAGUAACACGUGGAUAACCUACCUAUAAGACUGGGAUAACUUCGGGAAACCGGAGCUAAUACCGGAUAAUAUAUUGAACCGCAUGGUUCAAUAGUGAAAGACGGUUUUGCUGUCACUUAUAGAUGGAUCCGCGCCGCAUUAGCUAGUUGGUAAGGUAACGGCUUACCAAGGCAACGAUGCGUAGCCGACCUGAGAGGGUGAUCGGCCACACUGGAACUGAGACACGGUCCAGACUCCUACGGGAGGCAGCAGUAGGGAAUCUUCCGCAAUGGGCGAAAGCCUGACGGAGCAACGCCGCGUGAGUGAUGAAGGUCUUCGGAUCGUAAAACUCUGUUAUUAGGGAAGAACAAAUGUGUAAGUAACUAUGCAUGUCUUGACGGUACCUAAUCAGAAAGCCACGGCUAACUACGUG
rnacentral:rRNA from 1 species